AGAGUUUGAUCCUGGCUCAGAGCGAACGCUGGCGGCAGGCUUAACACAUGCAAGUCGAGCGGGCGUAGCAAUACGUCAGCGGCAGACGGGUGAGUAACGCGUGGGAACGUACCUUUUGGUUCGGAACAACACAGGGAAACUUGUGCUAAUACCGGAUAAGCCCUUACGGGGAAAGAUUUAUCGCCGAAAGAUCGGCCCGCGUCUGAUUAGCUAGUUGGUGAGGUAACGGCUCACCAAGGCGACGAUCAGUAGCUGGUCUGAGAGGAUGAUCAGCCACAUUGGGACUGAGACACGGCCCAAACUCCUACGGGAGGCAGCAGUGGGGAAUAUUGGACAAUGGGGGCAACCCUGAUCCAGCCAUGCCGCGUGAGUGAUGAAGGCCCUAGGGUUGUAAAGCUCUUUUGUGCGGGAAGAUAAUGACGGUACCGCAAGAAUAAGCCCCGGCUAACUUCGUGCCAGCAGCCGCGGUAAUACGAAGGGGGCUAGCGUUGCUCGGAAUCACUGGGCGUAAAGGGUGCGUAGGCGGAUCUUUAAGUCAGAGGUGAAAGCCUGGAGCUCAACUCCAGAACUGCCUUUGAUACUGGGGAUCUUGAGUUCGGGAGAGGUGAGUGGAACUGCGAGUGUAGAGGUGAAAUUCGUAGAUAUUCGCAAGAACACCAGUGGCGAAGGCGGCUCACUGGCCCGAUACUGACGCUGAGGCACGAAAGCGUGGGGAGCAAACAGGAUUAGAUACCCUGGUAGUCCAA
rnacentral:rRNA from 1 species